rnacentral:rRNA from 1 species
GACGAACGCUGGCGGCGUGCUUAACACAUGCAAGUCGAACGGAAAGGCCCUGCUUUUGUGGGGUGCUCGAGUGGCGAACGGGUGAGUAACACGUGAGUAACCUGCCCUUGACUUUGGGAUAACUUCAGGAAACUGGGGCUAAUACCGGAUAGGAGCUCCUGCUGCAUGGUGGGGGUUGGAAAGUUUCGGCGGUUGGGGAUGGACUCGCGGCUUAUCAGCUUGUUGGUGGGGUAGUGGCUUACCAAGGUUUUGACGGGUAGCCGGCCUGAGCGGGUGACCGGCCACAUUGGGACUGAGAUACGGCCCAGCCUCCUACGGGAGGCAGCGGUGGGGAAUAUUGCACAAUGGGCGGAAGCCUGAUGCAGCAACGCCGCGUGCGGGAUGACGGCCUUCGGGUUGUAAACCGCUUUCGCCUGUGACGAAGCGUGAGUGACGGUAAUGGGUAAAGAAGCACCGGCUAACUACGUG